rnacentral:snRNA from 1 species
AUCGCUUCUCGGCCUUUGGGCUAAGAUCAAGUGUAGUAUCUGUUCUUAUCAGUUUAAAAAUGAGAUCGCUAGCUCAGUGGAUAGUGUGUUGGCCCACAGACU